rnacentral:rRNA from 1 species
UACGUAGGCAGCAAGCGUUGUUCGGAAUUACUGGGCGUAAAGGGUGCGUAGGCGGCUUUUUAAGUUUGGUGUGAAAUCUCCCGGCUCAACUGGGAGGGUGCGCCGAAUACUGAGAAGCUAGAGUGUGGGAGAGGAAAGUGGAAUUCCUGGUGUAGCGGUGAAAUGCGCAGAUAUCAGGAGGAACACCGGUGGCGAAGGCGGGUCUCUGGGCCGUAACUGACGCUGAGGAGCGAAAGCGUGGGGAGCGAACAGG